rnacentral:tRNA from 1 species
CCCGAAGAAGCCGAAUGGAUCGGCGGUAGCCUGUAAAGCUAUGGCGCUUAUAUGUCGCAAGCAGGUUCGAUUCCUGCCUUCGGGA